AUGGUUCAGUGGGAGCAGCACUUUGCAUGUGUGGCUCUGGGGAGUCGUGCGUGUGGGGAAAUAAAUUCUUGGAACACGCUACGUCAGUUCCAAGACAACCUCAGAUGGGUUUAUAAGUACUUCAGUUGGGAAAGCAUAAGGGUUUACUCUUUCACUUUGUGCUUGUACUUUCUCUCUUACUUUCUCUCUUACGCUUUGUCUUUGUACGUUCUCUCUUUCACACUGAGCGCCGUAUCAAAUGGAAAGUUGAUGAAAUCAGAUGAAGGGUUCGAACCCCUGUAG